ACUCCCGAUACCUUGCCAGCUUAUCAACCAAAAACCUGUUUCCUGCAAUAACAAAAUCAAGACCAAGCAUAAAAAUACCAAAUAAAUCUAAAAGUAAAACUAAAAUAAAUAAUUAUCAAAUAACAAGUCCCCGGCAAUGGCGCCAAACACUUGACAGCGCCCAAGUGCACACACAAGUGUAGUGGUCUUAUCAAGUAGUAAAGUGGUUUCAAGAAAGCCCAAGUAUCGAUCUCUCAGGAAC
rnacentral:lncRNA from 1 species